rnacentral:lncRNA from 1 species
UCGGCUCUCGGUUUCUUACAGCUUGAUGGAAGGGAGUCAUCUUCUAGUCUAGUACUCCCUCUGUAAACUAAUAUAAGAGCGUUUAGAUCACUAUGAUCUAAACGCUCUUAUAUUAGUUUACAGAGGGAGUACCAAUUUGACGUUUGUAUAUUGUACAAAAAAGAAAGAAACAGGAACCGCACACGAUGAGUAGCUGUUGUUCCAAAGAUACAGGCCACUAUAAACAGAGAACAAUCUCGGGAUACUUUACAGAGCACAACCAAAAAAAUGUCCACUUUGUACGUGGGGGGUGGAGGACAGGAAAAAUGCACACAAGCCAACACAAGAGGCUUGCCAACCAAAAAAAAAUUGGAUCCGCUGUAUUGUACUUUCCUCGAACAAUCCGAGCCUUGUAUCGACAAAUGAGCCCGCAAGAGACAAAUCCUCAUAAUACCACA